GUCAACUGUAAAUUUAACCAAACUUUAGCCUUAAUUUAGUGAAAGGUAACAUAGAGAAGAUUCCUGAUCCUGAGUCCUGACAGACAGCAAAGCGUUGAAUCCCAAUGGGAUUACAAUUGCCUUAAAUUCCUUCUUACAAUUGGUCCCUUUUAUUGUCCUCUCUUUUCACACUUCACCAAAUAUCCUUUUCUCUCCAUUAAGUCUCUGAUUCAAGUAUUUUUGUUUCAAGAAUGGGAAGCAACGGAAACAGUUGGGCAGAUCAAUGGGGCAGUCAAAACGAGGUCGUUGAUGAAGAUUAUGGGAGCAAGGGAAAAACCAGUGGCGGAAAGAAGAUGGAAAAGGUGACGGCGGUUGCAUCGACGAGUUUCAACAAGGCAAAAUCUGCGGCGGCUGUGGGUGCUGACAAGGCAAAAUCUGCAGCGGUUGUGGGUGCAAAGAAGGUGAAGAGUGGAACUUCUUUUGGGUUCAAAUGGAUUAAGGAAAAGUGCCAAAAAGGAAACUCUACAAAGUGAUGAGGGGAAGGGAAGAUGAAGAAUUUUGAAUUUUGUAUUUUGUUAGUUGAAUCAAAGGUUACAUAUAUGUACACAGAUCAUAGUUGAUUGUUUUUGAUGAAUGAAAUUGGUUACCUUUUACGCGGA